AAAGACAAUUUUGACUAUAUUUGUAAAUAUGUGUGUGUGUGUGUGUGUGUAUAUAUAUAUAUACAUAUAUAUAUAUACACACACACACACACACAUAUACAAAUAUAGUCAAAAUU